rnacentral:rRNA from 1 species
GAGUUUGAUCCUGGCUCAGGACGAACGCUGGCGGCGUGCCUAACACAUGCAAGUUGAAGCGGAGGUAGAUGGAGCUUGCUUUAUGUACCUUAGCAGCGAACGGGUGAGUAACACGUAGAUAAUCUGUCCUAUAUUGGGGGAUAGCCCGAUGAAAGUUGGAUUAAUACCGCAUACAGCUAUAUAGUUGCAUGAUUAUAUAGUGAAAGAUUUAUUGAUAUAGGAGGAGUCUGCGGCACAUUAGCUAGUAGGUGAGGUAAAGGCUUACCUAGGCGACGAUGUGUAGCCGGUCUGAGAGGAUGAACGGCCACAAUGGAACUGAGACACGGUCCAUACUCCUACGGGAGGCAGCAGUGGGGAAUAUUGCACAAUGGGGGAAACCCUGAUGCAGCAACGCCGCGUGAGUGAAGAAGGUUUUCGGAUUGUAAAGCUCUGUUAGCAGGGAAGAGGAAGGACGGUACCUGCAGAGGAAGCCACGGCUAACUACGUGCCAGCAGCCGCGGUAAUACGUAGGUGGCAAGCGUUGUUCGGAAUAACUGGGCGUAAAGGAUGCGUAGGCGGUUAAAUAAGUUAUAUGUUAAAUAUAUAGGCUUAACCUGUAGAAAGCAUAUAAAACUGUUUAACUAGAGUGCAGGAGAGGUAAGUGGAAUUCCUAGUGUAGCGGUGAAAUGCGUAGAGAUUAGGAAGAACACCAGUGGCGAAGGCGACUUACUGGACUGUAACUGACGCUGAGGCAUGAGAGCAUGGGGAGCAAACAGGAUUAGAUACCCUGGUAGUCCAUGCUGUAAACGAUGGGUACUAGGUGUGGGUUGUGAAUAACAAUCCGUGCCGUCGCAAACGCAAUAAGUACCCCGCCUGAGGAGUACGAUCGCAAGAUUAAAACUCAAAGGAAUUGACGGGGACCCGCACAAGCAGCGGAGCAUGUGGUUUAAUUCGAAGCAACGCGAAGAACCUUACCUAAACUUGACAUACCUUGAAUUACCUUGUAAUGAGGGAAGCUCGCAAGAGCAAGGAUACAGGUGGUGCAUGGUUGUCGUCAGCUCGUGUCGUGAGAUGUUGGGUUAAGUCCCGCAACGAGCGCAACCCUUGUUGUUAAUUGCCUAACAGGUUAAGCUGAGCACUUUAGCGAGACAGCCUAGGUUAACUAGGAGGAAGGUGGGGAUGACGUCAAAUCAUCAUGCCCCUUACGUUUAGGGCUACACACGUGCUACAAUGGUGAGAACAAAGAGAAGCAAGCUAGCGAUAGUGAGCAAAACUUAUAAAACUCAUCUCAGUUCGGAUUGCAGGCUGAAACUCGCCUGUAUGAAGAUGGAGUUGCUAGUAAUCGCGAAUCAGAAUGUCGCGGUGAAUACGUUCCCGGGUCUUGUACACACCGCCCGUCACACCAUGAGAGUUGGCAACACCCGAAACCUGUGGGCUAACCGAAAGGAGGCAGCAGUCUAAGGUGGGGUCAGUGAUUGGGGUGAAGUCGUAACAAGGUA